AGAGUAGCCAAGUGGUCAAAGGCGAUAGACUGUAAAUUUAUUGGCGUUAGCUUUCGUAGGUUCAAAUCCUACCUCUUU
rnacentral:tRNA from 1 species